AUGUCCAGUUUUAGUCAUAAAGACAGAAACAAUUGGUCCAAAUUGACCCAAAAUGAUUCUGAUACCAGACAGAACACCAACACUGGCAGCAGCGAGAUGCUCCAUGCCUCCAUCGCAUGUCAAAAAAUACACUUUUCUCCUGAGAUGGUUAUGACACAUGACGUAAUUGGAGCUGAAAGAGAAUCAGCUCUGGAUCUAAUCAGGAAAUGGAGAAGAACCUGUGCAGCUGCUUCAACAGAAGUGGAAAGAUUUCAAAUUUGGGAAAAACCUGAAUGUGAAACACACAAGCCUUUGUUUCAUGAAGUGAGACCGUACACUUUCCAUAGAUUCCUCAGUGUGCAGAGGACCAAGAUGUUUACAUCCCAUGUAAUUAAUAAAAUAAUCUUGAAUACCUUGUAUUUAUUAAUGUCUAAUAUAACUGGUCUGCAACUCUUGAUUGCUAGCUAGCACACGAGUAUUACACAUUACAUCACUUGAAAUGUGACAGUCGCUUCGUUUUUUUCUCUAUUUCCAGUUGUUGUUGUAACUAAUAUGUAAAAUCUGAAUAAUCAUCAGUAACUGGGGGCCACUGCCUAACAUCGUCAGUCCAACUACCCAUAAUGCUGCUUUCACACCUUCACUACAACUUGGCACCUCCAACCGCCAACCUUCUGAUUAGUGGAUGACCCGCUCUCCCUCCUGAGCCACAGACAUAAUCAGUUACCAGCCAGCACUGCUUGCCAUGCACCACAAAGUGAUAUCUAACUAUGAAAACAAUAAGGCUGGCAAUGCUUUAUAUUGUUCUUAUUGUCAGAAAAUCCUAUGAAAAGACCCACAACAACAACGUGUUAGUCCUUGAAUACUGUCUGAGUUUCUGUUGGUGCUCCAAGCCCAUUGGAUCCUACUGGAGGUGUAAAUCCUUUAUUUAUCCACAGUUAGGGUUAAGAAGAGGAGAUCUGUUUGUUUGGAACUAUAUUCAUCCACAUUUAGUUCUUUAAUACGUAUUUGGAGCAGUAGGACAUAUGUAUGGAUGUGGGAUUGAGUCAAAAUAGCGUGUGUGUGUUCGUGGUAAUGAAGGAACACGUCAGCCAGUGCAACAGUGAGGCUCACUGAUGUGCUUUUAAUGGACAAAGAUUGAGCUCCACUGCGCAGAGGAAGGACAUAUAUCAGGCUUUGGUUAUAUAUCAGCAUCACCAGUUGUGUUGAAAAUAAAAACAUCUGUAGCUUCAAUGUUCCACUGGAUGGAAAGCAUGUAACACACACCUCCUCACUCCUCCGUCCUCUCCUCCAGCAGCACAUCUUUGAAAUGUGGAAUAUGGCAGCUGUUCAGCUACCAGACUGAAAACGUUGCCAGUGGCUCUCUCUCCAUCUCCAAAUCUAUUCUCUCCUUUUCCCUUCCUGUUUUUUUCUUCUCUCUCUCUCUCUCUCUCUCUCUCUCUCUCUCUCUACUCAAUUUUCUCUCGCUCUUCACUCUCUCUGAAGGCCCACCCUGUAGUUUUGCUGAAUAGGCAGAUCAUGAAUCGAGCGGCGUUGUAGAGGCGGCCGUUUCCACAGCGCGCUUUAUCAAAGUCAACGUGGUGUAUUAAACACAGAGCUGAGGCCACGAGGAAGAGAGAAGAGGAGGAAAAAAAGCAUUCAGGGAUCUCUCCUCCGCCUCCUCCACAUUGAAAUGAGGACACGGCUUUGCUGGUCGUCAGGGGGUUGCCGGGGGAACCGGGAGCUUCCUGUCCUGUGAGGACAACAGGAAGAAGUCCAGAGGGCGAAGCAGGAGUGGAAAUGUCUUCCCAUCUCGCCUUGUCUCAUUUUAAUUCACUUUUUACUUCUUUGGAUUGUGACCCAGAGGAGGAGGAGAUACAAGCUAUUAAAAUGAGCUUGGAUAUGGUACAGGAGCUCAGGGUUCAGGUCUUCACAGACCAACCCAAUCCCUCCUGAAGUAGACCUGACACUGGCAGCAGCAAAAGAUGACAAAAACAUCCUUCUCUUGCAUUGUACCAUGUGAUCAGACCUGAUAGAGUCCACUUAGGGACAAACUGACCCCUGGACCCCGACGGAAUUAGGUUCCGGAUCAGGUCUUUGUUAAUAGGAGCCGAGAAAACACAUUAAAGCUCAAUCUCAGGGUAUAGCUGCUGCUUCAUGCUGAAAGGUGAUACUCUGAUAUAUUCUGGACACAAUCAACAGAGAGAAAAUGCAGAGAAGACCCAGAGCGGGUCAUGUAUCCCGUGUCGUCUUACGGUGCUCCGGGACGAACAGGAGGAUGUGGGUUGAAACAUUGUCUGGUUUCAAGUAAAUUCAUCCAACUAAGUUUUAGAAGAACAAAGUUUGUCCCAAGACCCAUUCUGACAAGACCUGAUGAACAUUCAGAGAAAGGAAGGAAUGCAGUCUGAUCUAAUACAUGAAACUGCACGUUCAUGAUUACUUUGUCAAGUAGAUGCUGUUAACUGUUUACCUACAAACGAAACUGGAACCGGAUGUCACACUAGACUACCACUGUUCAAACAAUCACCAACACUGGUCUGGUAGAAAUAAGCUGUUGUUUAAAGUUGUAGUUUCUGCCACUGACAGACUCAGGUUGUCAUUGUCAGUGUCUGACAGCAUUAUGGAAAGUAUCCCUACAGAGAUAGACCUUUAGUUUAACCACAAACAGCCGUAAUAUCACUAUCACAGACAUGGACAGAAAUAAAAUAAAACUUACCAGAACCGUCUCUGUUAGUGUUUCCAACAAUCACCAACUCUGGUUUGGUGGAAAUAAAUCCUUAAUUCACCGACGUAGAUGAUAAAAACAGCAGUUUCAGUCGGAGCAGACCGGCUAUGGAAACAAACCACAGAGAGGCUGCGAUACAACACAGGCAGAGGGAGAGAGACACCAUGUGACUCUGUGUCUGUAUAUAGAGAAUAUAAUGUUUAUAUUAAUGUUUUAAAUCUCAUAUAUAGAAUCUUUAAGGACUGUCACUGUGAUAACUUAAAUCAAUGUGAAGUCUUUUGAUAUUUGAAAAUACUUUAUUUCAUAAUU
rnacentral:lncRNA from 15 species